rnacentral:rRNA from 1 species
UGGGGAAUUUUGGACAAUGGGCGCAAGCCUGAUCCAGCCAUGCCGCGUGCGGGAAGAAGGCCUUCGGGUUGUAAACCGCUUUUGUCAGGGAAGAAAUCUUCUGAGUUAAUACCUCGGGAGGAUGACGGUACCUGAAGAAUAAGCACCGGCUAACUACGUGCCAGCAGCCGCGGUAAUACGUAGGGUGCAAGCGUUAAUCGGAAUUACUGGGCGUAAAGCGUGCGCAGGCGGUUUUGUAAGACAGAGGUGAAAUCCCCGGGCUCAACCUGGGAACUGCCUUUGUGACUGCAAGGCUUGAGUGCGGCAGAGGGGGAUGGAAUUCCGCGUGUAGCAGUGAAAUGCGUAGAUAUGCGGAGGAACACCGAUGGCGAAGGCAAUCCCCUGGGCCUGCACUGACGCUCAUGCACGAAAGCGUGGGGAGCAAACAGGAUUAGAU